GAACAAUUUGUGAUUGUUUUGAAUUUCUUUUCUUCAUAAUAUUUUUUUCUCUUCUGUUAUGUGUACUUUCCAACAACGCAUUUCAAAAGCCAGAUGGGUCCUGUGUGGUCCACCCACAUUUAAAGAAUUAAGAUAUUUGUACAAACCAAAAUCAGAUUAAUGGCGGAAUGAAGUAGGAAUUUCAGCUCAAAUAUCUUAAUGGUUUAUAUAGACUUCAAACAAACUUUUUUCCCCCAGAAAUUGCAAUAAUAUUUCACAGCUAAUAUAGAGCUUUACAGAAUUCGCAACUUAGUUUCCCUCUCCUCUUUCUUGAAGCCCCCAAUGUUACAUUUCAAGGUUUAUGGCAUUUAUAACUGUGUAAGAUAUUCCAAAAACAUCUCUGUACUCAUAAAACUUAUUCUACUUUGUAAGCAUGGGAGAUCAAAGUCCCAAUCUAUACCCUCCUGUCUGAAGUUCUCCUUUUAAUCAGGAGAAAGUUUCUUUGUACCUAGAUUAACAAGCAUUUUUUUUACCGUCCUUGUCUCUUCCCAGACCUGUCUUACUCGUCUUUCUGAUUACCUCUUUCUGCUUUGCUGUGAGACCGUGAUUGCCUUGACGGUCUUAAAAAUAACACUCCUUUGAUUGCGUCUCUAUUUUUAAUUGCCAGUUUAUUUUCCAACACCUUGUUCUUAUACAGUAUACCAGGGUUUAUUGCGAAUGUCACAUGCUUUGAAUACAUCAACUGUUUGGAUAAGGAAAUAUUUCCUGGUAGAAAACUUGUUGCUGGAAGUUUUGACGAGGUUUUGAAAGCACAAAAAAUAAUCUGCACAUUUGAAUAGUAUAACUGACAGAAGAAAAUACAUUAUUAUUUCUUACCAUCUCUUAUUGGUACAAUGAACACAUUAUCAGGCACUCUAAGCACAUCAUUUCCUCUGUCUGGUUCUUACCCUUCCAGUAUUUUUCUUUUUAAUGUCCCUUAUCAAAUUAAAUAAUCUUAGAAUAUUUACAUGGUACCCCUGAUAUUUAUAUCUCACUACAAUAGCUGCAAUAAUAACAGCAGUUUGUAGUAGUCAGGGCCCUAAAGGUGGUCUUUAUGCUGUUUUUAGUUAUCUCCACAGUUUUGAACAUUAUUUUGUUCUGACCCUACAUACAUGCCCUCCAUACAUUAUAGCAACUCUAUCUUCUUCAGUCCUAUGAGAACCUUCUGAAAAUGUGAAAAUUCUACUGAAGGUGCUUUGCAAAAAUGUGUUCAUUAUAAUUGAAGAAUGGGUCUCCAUGAUAAUGCUAAGACAAAAUGUAGGUGUUGGCUAAAGUGACCUCCACCAAUAAAUCCCCUAGUGGAGUGCUUAAUAUAAUGUAAACUCACAUUUAUGUAGACAAUACAAUUUGUCAAGUGUUGAACAUAAGGGAAGAGGAAAAAAGGAAAACAAAUAUAGUGUAGUAUGCAAGAUAACUCCUAAUGAGUAUUAAAUACAGUAGUCACAGUCACAUGAAUUUGAGCCAAUUUGGAUAGGCUCAACUCACUUGUGCAGGAGUGUACUAAGGUGACACUUCCCCUCUUUCUAAGAAAGACCUGGGCGUGGGAAACAAAGAGCACAAAGUUACUCAGCAACCAGCAGUGUGUCGGCUUAUAUCAGACUCAGUUACUUCCACCUCCCAUCACUGGAGGAAGCACUGUUUUAGUUGCGUGGUGCUGUCUGAUGAUGUAAUCUUGAAACCAACCAUGUUGCAGAAGAGUAGUCUGAGGGCAGGGGUCAUCAUGGACCUGUGAUCAGUCUACAUCUACACCGCCCCAUAUGCAACAAAACUGGGAUGCAAUGUGUGUUCUGGCACUUUUCUAUCAUGUCCAGCAUUAAGUUUUUCAGCAAUUCGACCUACAGUAGCUCUUCUGUGUGAUUGUUCAGGACAGGCUAGUCCUCGUUCCCUAUUUGCAUCAGUGACCCUCAGGCAUACAUGACCUUGAUGCCGGUUAACCGAAUGGCCUUCCUUGCACCACGUUCGAUAGGUACUAACAACUGCAUAUUGGGAACACCCCACAAUACUUACCAUUUUGUAGAUGCUCUGACCCUAUUGUCUACCAUCACUAUUUGACCCUUGCCAAAGACACGCAGAUCUUUUCGCUUGCCUCAUUUUUCCUGUUUCCAACACAUGAAAUUCAAGAACUGACUGUUCAUUUGCUGUCCAAUAUAUCCCACCCCUUCAGUAGGGAAUAUUUGAACAGAAAUUUAGCUGUAAACCUGGAAGCAUCACUUUUUACCAGGUUCUGCGGAACACUGCAGCUCUGGGUUGAAUUGAGUUUCAUAUACAAAGCAAGAUUCCAUUUAGAUAACAACUUUACUUAUGAGUGAAAUCCAACAUUGGGUUGUCUUUGCACAACUUGAGUCUUGGAAAAUGAUUAAAAAAUAUAUUUAAAGGUUAGCUUGUACAAUACUUUAAAUGCUAUGGCUAGGACUUGCUGCUAGCUAACAGGUAUUCCAUCUGGCUUAUAUUGGCAAAUUUCCCACUAUUAUAUGUCUAUCAGAGAUUAUUAUUAUUAUUAUUAUUAUUAUUAUUAUCUAACAUGUUUAUUACCAGUGGCAUUAUAUAACACAGUUCUGUUUUGUUGGUACUUCUACUGCCAUUUUCUGGGGCAAGCUGGUGUACCAACUGCUACGAGUGGUCCAUUAUGCAGCCAUGGCACCAGAUAUGAAACUAAAAUGGAAAAUAUAUCACAAGUAACUGAGUAAAUGCUGAAAUACAUUGGCCACCUUGUGUGUUUUACACAGGAGCUUGUAUCUGAUGUAUGUGUGUUAAAAAAAAGUUACAUAUGUUACUUUCCACAGUCAUGUGGAAUGAUUGCAUGUUGAUAUGCAUGUUUGUACACUGUUUGUUAAUAUAAAGUUGAUUCUAUGCACAGAGAUAUAUGAGGUUACAUACAUAAGAAAGAUAAUAUGUAUCUAUCUUUGUUAAAACAGGUAACAUAUGGCCCAAAAAUGCCAUAUAGUGUUUGUGCUAUAUGGUGUAGUAUCAGCCCUCAUAAUUUUCAGAACAGUCUCAAAAUAUUGGCAAUGCUAUAUUGAAUAUAAGAAAUGUACUGAUCGUGCAUUAUAUUGAAUGCUGAAUGAGUUUGUCAGAGUUCAGAAAACACUCCAAUGUAGAGUUACGACUUAGCGCCCCGAUUGCAAAAUGAGGAUUUAUUUAUCAGUAUACUUAACUGUUCCUAUUAUUAGUUCACUGCCAACAUAACUUACACCCAUAUAGUGUGUUCUUCCAUACUAAGCUAAAAUGUUAAUAAGAAUAAAUAAUCUGGUGGCCUUAACAUUGCACAUCCAUCAUUUUUCCACAACUAAUAAGAAAUAUUUUCUACAAAAAUUACAUAAUACUACACAAUAUAAAGCUCUAAAAAUCAGUAGUGCAACAACUCUUGUAGAGCACUCAGGCACUGCCUUCCAACGCACUAAAAAAUUUGUGCUGGCCUUGCUUCCACUGCAACAUAUUGGUUAUAAUACAUAGGUUUUAUGCCUAGCAGAUCUUUUCACUCAAUUAAAAAUUAUUAACACUGGUAAUCGGAAUCUAGAGAAACAGUAUAGAUUAAACUUGUUAAUUUCAAGAACUACCAAUAUGUUACUCUUCUGAUGAGAAUGGUGCGAUAAGUUCAAUUUUCUGACACUGGGUAGAUAAAUUAUUUGGGGGAAAGCUGCAGAGGGGAAUUUUAAAUUAAUCUUUGGUUCUGUUGACCAGUAUGUAAAUGACACAAAAAUUUUAAAGUAUUGUCCCUUAUUUUCCCUCUUUAAUAAAGCACUCCAUUGUCUUUAAAAGCCAUGUAUCUAUAUCCGACUUAUUUAUGAAUGCAUUUUCGUGAAAAAUCCAACAUUUUACAUUUAGCAUGGUAUUUCUAUAAUAGAGUAAUCAGAGUGAUAUUUACAAUAAUAAAUCUAUAUUUUUAAAGUAUGACUACUUUGAUGGGCCACGGCAUCCAAAUUGUAUAAAGAUUAGUUUUUUUGUAAAGAGAAUACGACAAUAACCUCAGGUACCACGCAUGAGUUCGCAUUUGUGUCUUUUCAACAUAUUAACCCAAAGCAUGCAUUAAAAUUGUAUUUAAAUGUAAAUAUAAGCAUCAUACCUGAUUAAAUCACUGAG
rnacentral:lncRNA from 1 species